ACAGCCAAGCGCAUAACCAAAAGAGACAAUUGAACACAUUCAGGAAUACAUUACAAAUACUUUUUACAAAAAAUAGGAGUAAAAAUA
rnacentral:ribozyme from 1 species